GAUGAACGCUGGCGGCAUGCCUAACACAUGCAAGUCGAUCGGUAAGGCUCUUCGGAGUACACGAGAGGCGGACGGCUGAGUAACGCGUAGGAACACACCCUGCAGUGAGGGAUAAGACACCGAAAGGUGUUCUAAUACCGCAUACGGUCUUCGGAUUAAAGCAUUUAUGCGCUGAAGGAGUGGCCUGCGUCAUAUUAGAUAGUUGGUGAGGUAAUGGCUCACCAAGUCGAUGAUGUGUAGCUGGUCUGAGAGGAUGAUCAGCCAGACUGGAACUGAGACACGGUCCAGACUCCUACGGGAGGCAGCAGUGAGGAAUAUUUCACAAUGAGCGAAAGCUUGAUGGAGCAAUGCCGCGUGCAGGAUGAAGGCCCUCGGGUUGUAAACUGCUUUUAUAAGAGAAGAUUAUGACGGUAACUUAUGAAGAAGGGACGGCUAACUACGU
rnacentral:rRNA from 1 species